rnacentral:rRNA from 1 species
UACGGAGGGUCCAAGCGUUAUCCGGAAUCAUUGGGUUUAAAGGGUCCGUAGGCGGUUUUGUAAGUCAGUGGUGAAAGCCCAUCGCUCAACGGUGGAACGGCCAUUGAUACUGCAAGACUUGAAUUAUUGGGAAGCAACUAGAAUAUGUAGUGUAGCGGUGAAAAUGCUUAGAGAUUACAUGGAAUACCAAUUGCGAAGGCAGGUUGCUACCAAUACAUU